AUUCUCCUUUGCCUACUACUUCAGGGCUUACUAACAGAUUAAAGUGCUUACACUUGUGGGAGAGAGUGGUUUUUGCCGUGAUCUGAAGAGGAAGGGAUUUUAGUGUCCUCCUGCUGCAUGAAAUGGUUGCACAGAAAUAU